AUCCAGUUGAUGAGUCUGAAAUAGGACAAAACGCACGUCCUAGAU
rnacentral:hammerhead_ribozyme from 1 species